rnacentral:lncRNA from 1 species
UUUGCCCGCAGGCCCCCAUGUGACAGAGGCUCUUACAAAAGAGUUUGUUUACAUGCAUCAAGUUACCAACAUUUUCCAAGAAAUUAGGGUGUUGACCAAUACAAUCUCAUUGAGAUGGGGUUAUGAGAGUGGUCCCUAAUUCAGUAUGACUGUAUUCUUAUAGAAAGAAGGGAAUUUGAAGGCAGACACACACAGGAAGGGGAACACAUUUAGAAGAUAGAGAUACAGAUUAGAUUUGUGCAAUGGCAAGCCAAGAAAUACCAACGGUUGAUGACGCUAUGGUGUGAAGAUUUGUCUCCUCCAAAACUCAUGUUGAAAUGUAAUCCCCAAGGUAGCAGUAUGGAGAGGUAGAGCCUUGAAGAGGUGAUUGGUCUGCCCUCAUGAAUGGAUUAAUCCAUUGAUGGAUCAAUGGGUUAAUGGAUUAUCAUAGGAGGGGAACGGGUGGCUUUAUAUUAGGAGGAAGAGAUACCUGGGCUAACAUGCUCCACUUCCUCAUCAUGUGAUGUCCUGUGCUACCAUGAGACUCUACAGAGUUCCCAGCAGCAAGAAGGCCCUGAGCAGAUAUGGCCCUCUGACCUUGGACUUCUCAGCCUCCGUGACUAAGCCACUGAGACAGUGGUGGGGCAGCCACCUUCUCGUUCUUCUUCUUCUUCCUGCUUUCCCUCAGAGAUGGACUCUUAAUAAGAUAUCUCAGAAGCUGGACUGGCCUAACUGGAAUGAAGAAGGAGAAGUCAACAUUUGGGAAGUGUUUACCAUGGACCAGGAGUCUCCGGAAACUCGAAGAUUACAAGCAGAAAACUAGCCUGAUACACUUAGCAUAUGCAAAUGCUGUGCCAGAGAGACCACCAAAGCUUGGAUUCCUCCUUCUGACUCUCCAGAGAUAUAUAGGGGCAAGCCUUUCAACCAGGGCAGAAGGAUUGUAAGUAUCUCAGCAUCUCGAGUACAUAAAACCUAACUAGCAUUCUGCUCCAAGCCAGUUCGACCUCAUCAAAACACCCCUGGGGUGAGCUGUGAUUCCUGGGAGCCCGUCCUCCCUCAAGACAACAGAAAGUGCUUCCUCCUGUGCCUCUCAGGAGUGCCAUGUCCAUUGCUCCGCCUUACCAAGAACAAGCAAAGCCUGAGAACAGGAUUUGCAAAUAAGGGAGGGGGAAUGGAGGCCUAAGGAAAGUGGAAAGAGAGUUAAGAAAGGAAGAUGGAAGAUUCAGGGGCUGGAGGAUAGGAACUGAAGACUGAGCAGCAAACAGGAAGAAAGAGAAGGGAGGCAGGGAACCCAGCAGAGGGACAGGCAGACAAUAAGCCCGAGGCAGGAGGAAAAGGGAAAAGCCCAUGGUGCUAGUUUGAGGCACUGCACCUUGUUUGAAUUCCUAAAUUUAUCAUUUCUACUAAAUGUAACUGGAACUUACUAUACAUUUACCAGACAAGCCACUGUACUUUGCAGUAUCCUUGAGAGAUGGAGGUGGACGGAGGGACUGUUACUUUUUGCCAUCAUGAGGAGGACACGGACUCUCGGACAAGAUAAUCCUCCUGAAGCUACUUGAGAGUGAAGUGCAGACCUAGGGCCCUGGAUUCUAGAGCCCAGAACCACCAGCUGGCCUGGACUUCCAACCUCCAAAUUCAGGCCUGUUCUCACCCAGCUCAGGCACAUAGUCAAACUCAAAGGCGUGAAAAUCAAUUAGAACACGUGAGGGAAGAUGGUUCUCAGUCUGAACCAGACACACCAAUGAAUGGACUUGGAGGCCAGGCCAGGUCCCAAAUGCCUCCGCACCCCGCCGAUAUUUCUUUUGUAUAUUACAAGCCAGCAAAAUUAACGUCUGCUUGGAAAUCACACAGAGGAGGCUGGUGUGACUGCAACUCUAGCAAUGAAUGCACUUAGCAAUUCUGUAAUUUAUCAUUUGACCACUAAUAUAUGGCUAGCAGGAGGAAACAAGUGCUGGGGACUAGACACAGUUAAAUCAGAACAAGCGUCCAUCCUUCAGAAGCUUACCACGUGGUAAAAGACUUAACGUAUGUGUUCAAGUAUCUUUUUUUUUUUUUUUUUUUUUUUUCUGAGACAUGGUCUCACUCUCUCACCCAGACUGGACUGUAGUGGCUUGAUCUCCGCUCACCGCAACCUCAGCUUCCCAGGCUCAAGUGAAUCUCCUGCCUCAGCCUCCUGAGUAGCUGGGAUUACAGGCACACACCACCACUCCUGGCAAAUUUUUAUAUUUUUAGUAGAGAUGAGGUUUCACCAUGUUUGCCAGGCUGAUCUCGAACUCCUGACUUCAAAUGAUCCACCUGCCUUGGCCUCCCAAAAUGCUGGAAUUACAGGCAUGAGCCACUACUCCCAGCUAGUUCAAAUAUCUCUUUUAAAAGAUUUUUAAAAAGGAAUGAGAAAGGAAAGUCUGUGUGGUUUUUGUUAAUGAAGCAUAAGCUUCAGUGCUGGCCUGGCAUCUUUAACAGAUCAGCUUUGAAGUCGAAUCAACCUUGUAGAUCCUCAGUUUUCUCAUCUAUAAAAUGGAGCAAGCAAGAGUCAUGACACUCAGAUGCUGCGCAGACUCCAGGUGAUCCUGCGGUAUACUCGAUAUGCCUGGCAUAUCAUCAGGGGUCCCACACAUGCACAAGUUUCCCUUUCAUUCCAAACAGGGAAUGUUCUUUCCAGUUUUAAGUUAAUGCUAUUUCCUCAUCUGCAUUUUUUUUCUCUUCCAUUCUUAAUAAGUUGAGUAAGAGGGACAGUGAACUGGAAAGGGAAAACGUGAAAAUGCCGAGAAUUCUGAAAAUACAUCUUUCCAAAUUGUGCAGCUUGGUGUUGGCAAGAUGACAAGGGCCCCGGAAACCGGGUGCAAACACAGCACAGCAAAAUCACGCAGCUUGCGUGUGCAAUAUAUGUAUGUUACAUGCCAACUGCUGAACAAGUGCUUUUAAACAAAUGACAAAUAUGAUACGAUGCUCUGAGGAUCAGGCCAAGUGAACGCAAGGGUUUUCAAGAUUCAGAUGUGGACACGAGGUUCCUCUCGUUCCCGCCCACCAGCCCUUGCCAAGCCCGAGACCCCAACAUAACACUCCUUUUGCCUCAACCUUUCUAUCUGCGGCACCACACACAUGCACACACCAUCAAGCAAUCACAACUCCACCCCUCAUGUUAAGCCUGUAGGCUGUAGAAUAUCGGCCAGCACAUUAUUUUCCCAAUCAAUUUACAAACUUAACUAAUAAUUUAAUUCGCCGCAUGACAAAUCCACUAGCUCAUGCCGAAAGCAACUCAAAUGGAACGGCCAUAAAAUUCCCUUCUACGCCUUUGCUUGAUGCCAUCGUUAAAAAAGAGAAGGGAUGACAAAGUGAAAGGGAAAGUGCAGUGAUUCUUUUAUGUGAAGAUUACAUUUAAAAAUAACCGACUAACCGUCUGCACUUUUCGGGGGCCUGACGUCUCGAAACGCAUUUAGAUUGAUGCAGGCUGGGGCUGACGUUCUCGUGCUGAGUAAACAGUCAAGUGUUCUUAAUAGGAAUUGCAGUUUCUCGACAUCUGUUAGGGAAAAGGGAAUGGCGAAACAACAAUUUAGAGUGAGAUUGGUUUUGUUAAAUGCAUUUAAAUUCCAAGAUUAGUGGUGUUCUUUCUUUUUCAAUUAGCAUUUACUUGUAGAAAGGUUACAGAUGAAAGGGCUGGGGAAGAGAUCGGGUGGAUUUUUUUCCUUACUGAGAGGACACUCCAAAGCAUAGUAAAGCUAAAAUAGGAAGAGAACGUAAGACUUAAAGGAACUUAAAACUGAUGCCAAAUUGAGAUUGCAAAUCUUGAAGGGAAAGCAUUUAAAAUAAAAUAAAAUAAAAAUAAAGUGAAGUUGAGUCUGGAUUUGAUGAUCCUGUCCUCUGGACAGAAAAAUCAUAAAUUGCUUUGAGAAAAUACAGGGAUUUCUAUUUUCCAAGCCAGUUACUAAGCAAAAUUUGUGUUAUUUCUCAAAUAUAUGCCAUGGUUCUGUGUGAGUGUGUAAAGAGCUGUAACUAGCUCACUUUUUUUUUUUUUGAUAGAAACAUAAACAGAGACGAAAAAUGUAGGGAAUGUUUCACCUGUUUUACUGCCAUUAAAUAAACCUCAUCUGCUACCAAGCUGUUUUGGGUGACAUUUGCUAAAUAAAUACAUUUUGUGGGAGACUUGAACACUGAAGCACAGAGACAUGCAACCGAUGUUCUCAGAUGAAUCCUGUUUGCUUCUCAGUGCCUAUACCCCUACCCCAGGGGGAGAGUGAAGUGGUAAAUUCAGGUUUAUGUUUUCACAUUGGUAGUUUAUUUUCAAACGUACACAGCUACAACAAAAAGUACAUGCUUUUAUUACCAGCGUUUCUUGUAAUUCUCUCUCUCUUUCUGCCCCCUAACCCAAUUUUCCCCUCUCCCUCACUACCUUCCUCCCUCCCUCCACAAAUACCUUUAUUGCUUUUUUUUUAACUGGGGAGUAUUCACUAUUUCUUUACACUUCUAUAUGGAUUUCACUUUUAAAAAAUCUAUCAGCAUGCAUAUUUCGUGCAUGUCUGAAACCUUUAAAAUAUUGUUUGAUCUUCAUGAUUAUUUAAAAAUAUGUAUAUUGAGUAUUUGCUUAAGGUAAAGCCAUUGCUGCCAUUUCCAAUUAAAAAACUAAUAAAUGUAUUUUAAAAGAAUGUCUGCCAAGACUGUUCUCUGACAAAGUAUCUCUGUGGAUAUUUAAAUGGCACCAAGAUGGAUUACUGUUUCUGAUUAUUUCUCAUGUAGGGUCUCAGUGAUUUUGCAGAAAUCGUAAUUGAAGAAAAUGAUGGAAAGGAAGCUUUGAAUAUGGAGUGUUGUUAUUGCACUGACUGGACAACCAGAUGGAGCUAUUCCCAGUCCCCAGCACACAGAUAGAGAAUCUAUUCGACAAUAACUAAAGAGGUGUACAGUUCUAGAACAUUCUGCAACCAGACUUCAGGCACCAGGAGGCCUCCGUAGGCAGGGUUCCUCGGGCUUCUCAGCUGGCUUCCUUGGAGAAAUUUCAUAUGCUGAUUCCUUUCAAUUAUCUGUCAAUUUUCAAAAUGCAAAUAGAAACAUGCAGUCAUCACUUUGGUACUCACCAGCUGAUUUCUUCCAAGCACCCAGACCAUAAGUGAAUGCAGUUCAAUAUGUUCUCUUCCUUUUUUUAAGUGGAGUUAAUAUUACUGAGCAGAUUUUGGUUAGCUUCCAGGAACCCAGUGUGUGGAGAGGCAGAAUUUUAUUUUAGAAGCACAAGUUGGUUUGAAAAAUGUGAACUUACCCCAACUCUUUCUUUGUUUCAUCUUUCUUACUAGACAUGUUUUAUUUUCCUAAAGAAAACAUAAAUAAAAACAAAAAAAAAUUCUUCAUUGAUACACACACACACACACACACACACACACAUACACAAUUUAGGUCAAAUUAUUUUUACUACUUAGGAUGUCUUUAGUUAUUUUACAUAUUUAUAACACAGAAAAAAAGUAAGAAGAAAAGGAAAAAUGGUGUAUAAUCUUAAGACCAGGAGAUAACCAAUAAUAAAUAUUUUGCUAUAAUUUCUUUUCAUAUUCUAUGCAUAUACAUUUUAUGGAAUUGAGUUCACACUGUUCACAUAAUUUUGCUUUCUCUAUUUUGCCUUUACCUUUAUCAAUAAGCAUUUUCUUUAUAUCCUUAAAAUUUCUUUAUUAACGUAACCUAAUACAUAUGCACAAAAUGUUACCUAAUCAUUCGCCUGUUUAAGGGCAUUUGGUAAUUUCCAAUAUUUUUUCCUUCACGAUUUCGGGUAAUGUUUAAAUAAACCAAUUUAUGGAAAAGAGCUACCUAUGUUGGAUUACUUGCUUAGAAUGAAUUCCUGGAAAUAGAAUUACUGGGUCAAAGGGUACCAACAUAUUUAAUGUCCCCAAAGGCAUAUUGGCAAAUUGCCUUCCAUACAAAUUAUACCAAUUCCCCCUCUGUAACUAGUAUAUAAAAGUGCCUGUUUCACAGUAUCUCCCCUGCUCCAAGAUCUUGUAAAAUCUCUGCAAAUUUGAAAAAUGAAAAAAAUGAUAACUGUUGCCUGGAACAAUUUGUUAAAAGAUGCACUGAGCAAUACAUUUAUUUUUAAAAUUUUUCAUCUCACAAAGAAAUAUAAAAGCUUAUACACAGGAUGUUUUCUGACCAAUAAAUGCUAAAAAGCCAUAAUGUUUCAUCAUACAUAGUAGAUUAUUUUGUUCGAAAACCUAUUACAUUUUGCAUGCUGCUAUAGCAGUCUUUCUAGUCCAGAAAACACUUCACUAAAACAGCAACAAUAUCAGUUUACUGCAUAAGAUUGCCGGCAGCUCACACUAGAUUCUAAACACGAUUGAAUAGGCAUCUUUAAGAGUGGAAUAUCCAUGACUUAUCUUGCCAGGCUUGGUACUAUGCCAGUGGAGAAGGUGGAUGGUGCCAUUGUUAUUUGGGCAGCCAUGCCGAUCUCAAGGAGGAAAGCUGAAAUUGUUUGAAAACCUGGUUUAAGACAGUCUUUUUGAGAUUUAGCCCUAGAGAACACUCAACUAAACAACCAAGAGAGGC